GAUGAAGAACGCAGCGAAAUGCGAUAAGUAAUGCGAAUUGCAGAAUUCAGUGAGUCAUCGAAUCUUUGAACGCACAUUGCGCCCUGUGGUAUUCCGCAGGGCAUGCCUGUUCGAGCGUCAUUUCAACCCUCAAGCUCUGCUUGGUGUUGGGCCCUGCCCGCUGCGGCCGGCCCUAAAGACAGUGGCGGUGCCGCCUGGCCCUGAGCGUAGUACAUCUCUCGCUCCAGUGCCCGGUGGUAGCCUGCCAGAACCCCAACUCUCGUGGUUGACCUCGGAUCAGGUAGGGAUACCCGCUGAACUUAAGCAUAUCAAUAGCGGAGG
rnacentral:misc_RNA from 1 species